UACGUAGGCAGCGAGCGUUGUUCGGAGUUACUGGGCGUAAAGAGCGUGUAGGCGGCCAGGUAGGUCCGUUGUGAAAACUCGAGGCUCAACCUCGAGACGUCGGCGGAAACCCUCUGGCUAGAGUCCGGAAGAGGAGAGUGGAAUUCCUGGUGUAGCGGUGAAAUGCGCAGAUAUCAGGAAGAACACCCGUGGCGAAGGCGGCUCUCUGGGACGGUACUGACGCUGAGACGCGAAAGCGUGGGGAGCAAACAGG
rnacentral:rRNA from 1 species